UGGGGAAUAUUGCACAAUGGGCGCAAGCCUGAUGCAGCCAUGCCGCGUGUGUGAAGAAGGCCUUCGGGUUGUAAAGCACUUUCAGCGGGGAGGAAGGCGAUAAGGUUAAUAACCUUGUCGAUUGACGUUACCCGCAGAAGAAGCACCGGCUAACUCCGUGCCAGCAGCCGCGGUAAUACGGAGGGUGCAAGCGUUAAUCGGAAUUCCUGGGCGUAAAGCGCACGCAGGCGGUCUGUCAAGUCGGAUGUGAAAUCCCCGGGCUCAACCUGGGAACUGCAUUCGAAACUGGCAGGCUAGAGUCUUGUAGAGGGGGGUAGAAUUCCAGGUGUAGCGGUGAAAUGCGUAGAGAUCUGGAGGAAUACCGGUGGCGAAGGCGGCCCCCUGGACAAAGACUGACGCUCAGGUGCGAAAGCGUGGGGAGCAAACAGG
rnacentral:rRNA from 1 species